ACACACACACAGACGGACACACACAAAGUCAAACUUCAGUUUUAUUCGAGCCUUUACAUCAGUCCUGAUUUCAAAGGCAGCCUGUAACCGAUGUCUGUUAUAUCUUACUCACAGAAAUGAAUUACCUACAGAGUUUGGGUGCCGAGUCAUUAGAAAGUCUACUGAAUAGAGAAAAUGUCACAAAGCCAAAUGCUAUAAUAAUAAGUGUUAGUCAUUUGCAAUGCUGGGAAAUAAUUUGUCUUAUGAUGCUGGCUGCUUGGUCACAGACACCACUAACCAGAAAUUACAACAGCGCGUUGAGUCAAGAGUUAUUAGUAUUGAUCAGGAAGCUAAACAAACCCUCAAAGACAUAUUACUGUCAUUUGUGCUGUGGUACAUGAAGAAUCCAGCUUAAUGCCUCUUUAGUGAGCAAGGUAAAAAAACAAAAAAACAAAACAAGUAAUCUGCCGACAGCAGACCACUUCCAAUUAAAGUCCUAUAAAUACACACAUAUCUAUCUCUAACCAGGACUUCUUGACUCAUAAAGAAAAUUCAAAUAUCUGCUCAAAUAUAUUCCAAGAAAAUCAUCACAAAACUUUAUUCGUUUGUCAAAGCAUGUUUAAGUGUUCUGGGAAGUACUGAAAAUGAAACAAAGCUGUAAGUAAACAAACAAACAAACAAAACAAAACAAAAACUCGCCCCGUCUCCAGUCUGAUAAAUUCAGUCUCUAAACUACCAGACUGAAAAUAAAAUCUCGAGUUAGAAAGGCCAGACCUCUAAAGUCCUCCUUAACUCUCCGUGAGUAGCGUGGCAUAGCCACAUAUCUGACACAAUAUCCAAGCAGUCCUUGUUGAUGCUGCAUUAUAGGUUAUUUAAGGGUAUACUCACAAUAGGUGACCCCCAACCUGUGCUUUUCUUCUUCUUUUUUUUUUGUUUAAGAGAGACACGAGAGGUCAAAUAAAAAAAUUUUUUUUUAUUAUUAGUCAUCUUUGAUACCUCCUACUUUCUCAAGUUAUGAGAACCACACGGUUGAGAAGCAAACAGGAUUUAGAUGGAAAGACAAGCGUCGCUACACUUUCUAGCUCGGAAAUGUCACAGUUUUCUGUUUUGUUGUGGAUUUUCUUUUUUAAUCCGUCUGUGGACCUACAAUGUAUUUUCUGAAAUGUCACAGUGCCUUCUGAAAUUUAGUCACUUGUUUUGCUUUGGUAUUUCGUUAUUGUGUUUUUAACUUUAAGGUCACUAUAUUUGUGUCCUAAUUUGGUCCCGUUCACAACUACAUAUACAGUUUACUGGAAAACAAAAUGUUUCAACUCAGUUCUUUUCCUGCUUCUUUUUCUCGUUGGCCUAACAAAUAACAGAAAUGCAGAGUGAUCACAGACAACAUAAGAAACUAUACGUUGUCUGGGUAAUGUAAUCUACAUAAAACUGGACAGUUUGCUUAAUUUAUUUAUCGUGCAACAAACAUUUGGUAGGUCUAGCUUUUCAAAUAUGAGAAUCUAACUUUUUCCAGUUCUGAUGCAAUAUUUAAACCCUGGGUUCAGGUAUCUGCCUAUACAGUAGAACCCCGACUUACCAAUACCCCAUUUAACAAACACUUCAAGUUACAAAGGCACUUAACGGCAAUAUUUCUGCCCGUGUUAUGGCAAAAAUGCCCAUGUAACGAAAUCCACCAUCUCUGAUUGGCUGAGCCUAGAAUGCCUACAAUGCCCACAAUGCCUUCUGAAUCACGUGACAACCCCUUGGCUUUCGUAUUUGUGCUUCGCUGUUCCACUUGAACGAGGUAUUGUUGUUGCAGUUAGCAAUUAGCCUAUCGUUCACUCAAAAGGCGCGAUGGGUGCUUCGACUUACGAAAAUUUUCGACUUACGAAAGACCCUCGGGAACGAAUUAAUUUCCAGGACAAUAUGCAGAGACAGUCAAAGUAGAGACAAAGCAAGCCGUCUCUGCAGCCUGUGGAUAUAUGACUCACCUGCUCAACCAGGUGAUCUAUACAAACUCCCCCUAACAUCGACUCUCUCGGGGUAUGGAGCAUCCAGGAAAAUGACCUCCUCCCCUGUGUGUGCAUCAAGACCAAGAACACCUCCACACAUUUCUGUUUCCUCAAGAAGGCAAAGGCCAGCAGAGUGUAAUUUCUGCCCUCCAGCUUUUUUCACAGAAAAUUUAGGAAAGCAUUUGCCACUAAAAAUAACUCCAACUUAAUCAAAUCUAAUAACCUUUUUGGCAUUUCAGCAAUGAGUGUGAGUGCAUCUCUCUUCUUUGAAAGGAGUAAUGGUUGCACAAGAGGCUCCAUUCAUAUUGCAUCAAAUGUAAUGACAAUGAGCAAGAAAGUCCAGAUAGCUUUAUUGGAUUAAUGUUAUGUCAGGGAAAGACAAGGUAGCCUAAAAGCAUUAAGAGGAAAUUCCUGACAUCGCUCCUGGACAAGUUGUUUGGUUUCCCAUAUUUACAGGCCUGUUAAGUUUCACUUCGAAGAAAUGUGGCUGUAAAAAUCGUAUUUUACAUCAUCCAGCUACUGGAAGGCUGAAUUACCAGUGGAUAAGAGGAUCAAUCGCUUACACUAAAGGCAGUGGACAAGCAUUAAAGACUUGAACUAAUGCACGAGUAAAGUACAUUUCUUUGUACCAUCACCACAUUUCUGAAUUCCUUCCAUGAUUCACCACAACAACAGGAAAACCAUCUCCUUCACCCCAAAGACAAAUCCAACUUCUGGUCUGUGACUGGUCCUGAGUCGUUUCAUGUAAACUGAACGCAUCAGCCAGCAAAUGAGGAAAAAAAGCUGAGAAUUAACAUGUUAAUGCAAAGUGAAAAAUGUCAGUGGGUGGUUUUAAAGAGCUUUGAUAAUGCAAUUACUCCACAAAUUUGCCACUAACGGCUUUAAUUCUGCUACAUUUAAGCUACUAUAAUGGCUUAUAUUGUACGAGCAUUAAAAGAAAAAAAUCUGGGGGCAAAAAACCGAUUCGCUUUAAAGGAAUAGCUAUAAUAAGACGACCUGCUCGAGGGGGCAAAGGAAAUAUGCAUGACUCUUUUGCUUAAAGUUCAACUUUAGUGGACAAAAUGUCUUUAGGAGAAUGAACACAUGCACGCACACCAUGUAUAAUCCUGGCAAGAUGUCUGCCGAAUAAUCUUCUUAGAGAAUAAAAUAUUAAAAUAUGUUAUGCAAGUCUCAUUUCAACUGAUCUCAAUUGUGCUCGUUUGUCUACAAUCUGAGGCUGAUUCUCAUUUUUCUGCAACAAAGACAACUGUGUCCAUUUAUGCACGAGUAGUACGAAUGAGACAAUCCCUACCAGACAGAAAAAAAUGUUCAAAAAUGGAAAGGAAAAAAAAUGAUAGGAUGAGGGUGGCAUGGAAAAGAAAGUUGAGAGAAAUAAGCACAACCUGCAGGGUAAAGAGGGAAAUUAAGCAGUGGAGGGAGUGACUGGAAGUGAAUAAUCAUCGUUUUCUGGUUCCAACAUCCUGAAGGAGAAAGCUGAUAGCCUGCGAGGAAGAGGUGAUGCAUUUAACCAGUAGGAGAGGGAAGUAGGAGUGAGAUGAGAAGAGACGAGGCAGGACCUUAUUAGAUAACAAAAAGCUCACCACACAGCAAUGUCCGGUUAUUGCUUUACAAGUGAAGUAUCAAUAAGUCACUCAUUAAUUCCAUCAAAGAUAAUAACAGCUGCAGAAUAGAGACUGUUGGGAAAAUAACAAGUGCCCCGUAAAAUUUUGUGCUCAGCAUUGUGUUCAAGUUACAGCAUUACCACAACUUGAAAAUUGUAAUAAUACCACAAUAACAACAUAAAAGUGAACUUAAUGACAAUAACCAAAGAUGGUCAAAGAAAAUAUCUGAAAGUGAUCCACUCUCACGCAGUCGAGUAUCAAAGUCAAUAAAAUUACAUCCACAGGAAGACAUCUUUACUUGAAUCAUCUUAAUAGAUAUCAAAGGACCGACAAAAACCAACAAAGUUUUACAGGUCAGGGCUGACAGUUAGGAUUCUAAUAUCAUGUCCAAGUUUAUUUUUCUGGAUUAUUUUUGCGAUGCCAGAAAUUCCCGGAAUGUCCAAUAGAAACAUCUAUUGAUAAACAUCUUGCUAGAGGGUGUAUGCUAAUUAACUUAAGGUAUUUAUGGGUAAUCCAUUAAAUAGAUGGAUCUAGCUAGCCACCAUAACAUCAGCAGGACCAGCGUUAUGCAGUCUCUGCAUUUAGACCGGGAUGUGACGCGCCAGGAUGAGAUCCGACUGAGAACCAGAGACACUGCUCACACUUGCAAAUCACAAGGCAGACAUACCUCAGAGUGUGCCCUGCUUUAUGGUCCAUUUUACUCUGAAUGGAACAAUAAUUUCCAAACUAAAUAUCCUGUUGUGUCAAAGUAGACUUAAAACUAAUGAUUGUGACCAUAGACUAAUAAAGAAAAUGCUCACUGGGGUAAUAACACUCAAAUAAUAUCCAAUAACGUUAAUGAGAGUAGAACCUGUGUUAGUUUUAUUUUCAUUUUUUAAUAUUCUCAUAGACAAGUCCGUGAGACCGUUAGUGGUGGAUUCAUCCGGCUGAGGCGACUUGAGCGGACAAAUAUGUGAGAUUCACUAGCUGUCAAUAAGGCUAAAGUUGAAUAAUGUUAUUCAUAUACACAGGAGAAUGAAAAAUGGUGUUAAUUAACUAAGCUUAGCUGUCAGGUACAUAAGAUCUUAUGUUGCCACUUAGUAGGUCUAAUUUUUUAAUCCACAGACUGUAUAUGGACACAAAAAUAAAAUGAUAUGAAAGCACCACCAUAAUAUCAUAAUAAUGCUUCGACUAGGCUCCAAACAUUAAUUUCAUUGCUUUUUAUAGCCUAUUUUGGCAUGAGCAUCUACAGGGAUUCUCUCAGUCUUGGGAGCCAGCCUCAGGUGGCAACCUGUCUUCAUUUAAACCUAAAACUAAAAAUGUGUUUCCUAAAGAAACCCAGAAACACAUGAAACUAUGAGUAAGGGGUUACAUGUAUUAUACAGUGUAACAAUCAGAUAUAGAAAGGGAUCAGUUAUCUUCAUGCACAUUUGCCUGUAUGCAUCAGCCUAAUGUGCUGUGACAGCCUCCUGUUUUGUAUUCUUGCUCAUCACAAAAGGUCUGAACUAGAGAGACAGUUAAUAUUCACAUCAAUGUAAACUAACACUGGCAGAAAAAAUAUUGCUUGGUUUACUGUAAUCCAUCCCAAUAAGUAGAUCUGCUGCUCCCGAAUGCCAGGGAAAACUCUAGUGUGACCCCCGCUACAUUAACUCUAAAUCGGAAGUAUUGGUGUCCAGAAUACAAAAUUACAAGUAAUGUGGUUUUCUCUACACAGAAUAAUAAUCAUUGCUAAAAAUAUUUUAUUGUGUUUAACCAAAGGAAGAGACUUUUCUCCCUUUCCCCUUUGCAGAAAGGUCUGAGCAGAGAAUGAGCGAAUUAUCACAGAGCAAGUCCCAUGAACCGAGCUCUAUUAUCUCUACAGAAAGCUACAUGUGUACCUGACCCUGACCUCUCACCUCCCUGUGAAAGGAAGGAAAAGUUCAAAUAGAAUUUUUCUCUGUGGAUCAAUACAGUUUCACAUGACAGCAAGGAUCCUUGUGGUGACAGAAGACGGCUGUCUGAUUCCUUUCUAACAUUUUCCACUGUAACAAGGCUGCUGGCUCUGAUCUUUGCUCUCAUCACUCAGGAAUCUGAAUGGAAGCUUAAAUGUUUGAGUUUACUCAGAGCAAGAACAAGCUAAUCAACAGUAAGGACUGAAGGCGAGA